CCCCUUUUAAAAGCAUUCAGUGGGCUUUUGCUAGUGACCCAUUGAGCCAUCAAGAAGGGGCAGAGUGAAAAUACCACUUUUGGGUGAAGUAGCAACUUGUGUUGUUUUUACUUCAAUUGGUGUUGUGACAAGG
rnacentral:snoRNA from 1 species